CCGAUAAAAACAAAUAAAGACUGCGUAUUUAAACCAAAUACUAUAAAUAUCUACAAUUUUUAAAGCAAGACUCGAUUUAACUAAAACGUGCUUUCAAUAACUGCUUUAUAAAACACCGCUAAAGUGAACGUAUAGCCUCAUCGUCUGUAGCGUGACGACGACAGCAACAGAGACGACGUGUAGGCCCACAGCUACUUCAUUAGGGAACGUGUGGGAUUCGAGCAACUUGCAACAUCUCAGAGCUUCUGAAAUGCUUGACUCCGUAAUUCUACCAGCACCAGUUACGCCCACGUCAUAGGCCUGCAACAUAAAAAAACAUAUAUUCUUUAAAGACUCAUUGACUGUUUCUUUCAUUAGAAUUUCGUCUCACUCUACUCUGAUCAAACCACAGCUUCUAAACUAUGCUCAACUCGAAUACUGUCAAUCAAUUUCAAAAAACUAAUGGACAACUCGUUUGGUAAAAUAAAUCUUUGAUUUGUCAACAUAUCUUUGCACGCGGUAUAAGUUGAAAACAAAAAUAAUUUUAGAACUAAAAUCUUUACAUGCCAUAACAUGAGCUGCAAUCGAGAAACUAGUUCGUCAAUUAGUACAACGAAGAGUAAAUUGAAGUAAUUUAAUGUUUUUGAGGCAGCUGAAUGCAGAUGAUGUCUGUGGCAACAUUUUGAGAGGAAUGAUGAUAAUCUUCAACUUCUCUUCGUUCUGUCUUCAUAAAUUUUUCGACAUUCACCUAUGAGAAUUCCAAUCACAGUCUUUUUAUAGCUAUUUUAUUUUAGUUACCUGUUUUUAGUUCCUGUUUGACAUGCUUUUUCAUAGGAAUGAUAAUUUUUUCACAUUGUUUUAAUAGAGACUGAAAAUUUUUCUUUUUGUCUGCCGGAUGAUUGGUUUUGCUAACAAUUACUUAAUGAAAGUUUUCAUUUAUUCCACCGCCUUCUCGACGGGUGUGAACUUUUUAAGAAUUUCUGAGUACUUCAGUAGAUUUCAAAAUUU